AUUCUAAAUUGAUAUAUAUUUAAUUUUCAAGAUACUAAUUCUUAUAUUAUAACUUUAAUAACAUAUUUUCAUGAUUUUAUUAUAAUAAUUUUAUUUAUAAUCAUAAUUUUUAUUAUUUAUAUCAUAUUAUGAUUUUUUUUAAAUAAAUUCAUUAAUCGGCAGAUUAUACAUAAUCAAUUAUUAGAAUUAAUUUGAACUUUAAUUCCAAUAUUAAUUUUAGUUUUUAUAGCUAUUCCUUCAUUAAAAAUUUUAUAUAUAGUAGAAGAAAUUAUUAAUCCUUUUAUAACUUUAAAUAUUUUGGGACAUCAAUGAUAUUGAAGGUAUGAAUAUGUUGAUUUUAAAAAUUUAUUAUUUGAUUCUUUUAUAAUUCAAGAUAAUUUUAUUGAUUUAGGAAAUUAUCGGUUAUUAGAAGUUGAUAAUCAUUUAAUUAUUCCUUAUAAUAUAAAUAUUCGAUUUUUAGUUUCUUCUGUAGAUGUAAUUCAUUCAUGAGCUAUUUCUUCUUUGGGUAUUAAAGUAGAUGCUACUCCUGGGCGAGUAAAUCAAAUUAUAAGAAAUUUAAAUCGUGUAGGUAUUUUUUAUGGACAAUGUUCUGAAAUUUGUGGUUUAAAUCAUAGAUUUAUACCUAUUGUCUUAGAAAGAACUAAUUUAUUAUUUUUUUUCAAUUGAGUAAAAAAUUUUGAAUAA
rnacentral:misc_RNA from 1 species